rnacentral:tRNA from 3 species
GACUGAGUAGCUCAGUUGGUUAGAGCGUGGGACUCAUAAGCCCGAGGUCGAGGGUUCAACUCCCUCCUCAGUCACCA